UACGUAGGGUGCAAGCGUUGUCCGGAAUUAUUGGGCGUAAAGAGCUCGUAGGCGGUCUGUCGCGUCGGCUGUGAAAUCCCGAGGCUCAACCUCGGGUCUGCAGUCGAUACGGGCAAACUAGAGUAUUGCAGGGGAGACUGGAAUUCCUGGUGUAGCGGUGAAAUGCGCAGAUAUCAGGAGGAACACCGGUGGCGAAGGCGGUCUCUGGGCAAUAACUGACGCUGAGGAGCGAAAGCGUGGGAGCGAACAGG
rnacentral:rRNA from 1 species